AGGCGCUUCAUGAUGCUGCUACGGGGCGGACGAAGCUUGCUUUCCUUCCCACUUUCUUCCCGCCCAGAAAGUUGACUAGAAUCGUGCAAAGGACCCGGGAUGAAUGCAAAAUGACAGCCUGAAGUAGGAUUAAUGACGCUUCCUUUGAUGUUAAUGGUGGAGUCUUUUGUCCCAUUUUUGUGACUCAAACGUUCAUCAAUCCGCAGUUAUUUGUCACUUCCCUGCAAGUCCUCUUAUGCAGCGUUAAAAUAUGUAAAUCGAAAGUUAUGUGUAGCAGAGUAAAUUUAAAAAGCAAUUAUUAAUAGCGAUAAAAAUAGAGAAAGAGGUUAUGAUCUGGCCCAACUGGUUUACAUAGGUAAAGAUAGGGGUGGGGGAGGUGAACUUAAAGAUCAAAUUGGCUAAUUAUGACUCGGGAAUGUAGACAGCAGCCCAUUCUAUAAAAUACAAGAGCUCCCUAAGGUGAGCAGUAGGGAUCAGCAGUAUUGGCCAAAAUGAAAAGAACCUAAGAAGAAGAAAGGCCCAAAAGACUAGUACUUCAGAGUUACUUCAGAGAGGAUUGACCUGUCGUCUGUUUCUGGUAUCAGGGUCCUACCAAUUGAUUAGUUUUGUUUUGUUUUUUUGUUUUGGUUAGAAGGAGCCAGGCAUUUCAAAAGCCAGUUUGAUUAAGUGAUAUAUUGAGCAUGAGAGACAGUUCUGGCCAGAUCUGAUCUUCCAGAGCUCUGAGGCAAAAGCCUAGUCCAAAAUGACUCUAUAAAUUACACUUAACAAAGUGUGUUUGCCAGUGUUCUCUGGAGGAACAGAACUGAUAAGAUGAAUACAUACAUAAAAAAUUUAUGAAACUAGCUUAAAGUAAUAACAGUUGUCUCACCCCAGAAGAACUAAACCCCUAGUAGCUGUUCCAUCCACGAGGCUGGUUACCUUGCCAGCCAGAGUAGUCCUAUAAUGGCUGUCUCACAUUGGAAAAAUGAACAGCCUGGUAGAGCGUCUGUCUACCAGGCUCAGUGCCACAGCAGUUCCUGUAUACCUGGAGAGUCCCUGGCCUUCAGCCAACAAUGGAAGUUUGGAAAUAAUAGUUUGGGUUUCACCAAAGACAGCAGCAGCAAGCAAGCUCAGCUGCCAGGGGAAGAUGGAAGACCAAGCAAGCUAAAGGGAUAUCAUACUCUCUCUACUCUGCUCCUGGGCCUAUUGGCAGAAAUGCUGCACGCGCUUAAGGUAGCUUCUUUGAUAUCAACAGAGACGAUGAGGACCAUGCGGCUCUCUGGUCAGUCGUUGCUGAUUUGUGGCAAGUUGUGGUGAAAACCAGCCACCACACUAAGAGAAACUAGACAGGAGUAUGUGUGAGUUCCACAGGUGAGCUCUGGAGUGAGAGCCUAGGCUUUGCACUGCUUUAGUGGGUCUGGUCAUCAGCUUUCUCCUGGGGCUUCCACUGUAGUACUUCCCAAGGUCUCCUCUCCCAUCCCCAAAAUUGACACCAUCUGGGCAAUUUCUAGAAGUGUAGAUGUAAAGGAGAAGCAACCGGGUGACUCCACUCUGAUUCCUUCUAUAAGCAAGUUGUUCCUCGACAGCCAGGAGCCUCCUCUCUGUUUAUAAAAUAAAGUAUGGUCCAAUACUAGAAUACAGAUGAAAGCCAACUCAGUUUCUGAGCACGUCUCAUCAUUUUCUGACACUUCAUCUUCUGAUAUUCCUGGGAUGGUUGUCAUUCUAUUGAAUUAAUAAACAAGACGGGGCUAGAGAGAUGGCUCAGUGAUGAAGAACACUGACUGCUCUUCCAGAGGACCUGGUUAGAUUUCCCAGCAUCCACAUGGCAACUCACAAACAUCUCUAACUCCAGAUCCAGGAAAUCGGCUGCCCUUUUCUGGCUGCUGCAGGCACCAGGCACACCCACAGUGCACAGAAAUAUGUAUAGGCGAAACACACCACCACUACCCCCAACACCAAAAAUUUUAAAAAUUAAACACCUAACAGAUUAGUAAAGCAUACUGCAUAGUGUAGCUAUGAGGGCAUUUUUAUCAAAUCAUAGGAUCUGACUUAAUAGUAUCGCCCAUUUAUGGAUUCAAAACUUAAGGACUGAAAGAAAGGUGAAAUUUCAAGACCUGUAAGUCAUAUAAAGUACUCAGAAAUUGCUGGUUGUUUGUGAGCCUAGAGGCUGCCUGCGGCUGAGAAAAAAGACAAACAAACCCAAGUAUGCCCCAUAGUUAAAACAUUCCUGGGAACAGCUUAACCUUAAAGAUAAAGAGGAAUGUGAGGACAUAACAGGGCUAUCUGAACUGAGUCAACAACUCACAGAACUCUGACACCCUGCAUGUACAUGCAAUUUUUCUGCUGAUGUUUGAAUAAGCCAAUAGUGUGUCGCUAUACUGAAUUCCACACCCCUAAGCCCCUUACCCCAUAAAACCCCCUAACUUUCGAGCCUCGAGGCUGACAUCUGUUAUCUCCUGUGUGAGAUGCAUGUCGGUCCGGAGCUCCGUCAUUAAACGACCUCGUGUAAUUACA